rnacentral:lncRNA from 1 species
GGAAACAAAAAGGAUGCAGAGUUAGGCAGCACUGCAGAGGGACCUAGUUCAGCUAGUUCAGAGAGUGAUUCACGAUGGGUUUCCCAGAAGGUGACCCUGAGAAGAGCUUAUGAGUGACAGCCCUGUGUUAUGAAGUCUUCUCAGGGCAACUCCCAUCUAACAUUUCAUGCUUUUAUUCAAUUCUUUCUAUACUUCCUGAUCAGGCCCUGGUGGGAUCCACUGGGGAAGAGGAAAUAGCUGGGGAAACCUUUGAGACACACCAGCUGUCUUCCUUCACAAGAGCAUGCAUAGUGGGGACAUUUAUUCCCUGAGGUACUAAAGGUCCUAAAGGGGCUGAGGGAAAACCAGACUCCCAAGAGUUCUAAGGAACAUUCGGGCUCUGGCCUCCACUUCCCUACCCUCCAGGAUGGAGCAAACUAGGAGGAGGAGGUAGUCAGGGCUGCUGCUGAAUGAAUUAACUCAUCUUUCCCCUCUCCACCCUCCCCUCAUUUUCUGUUUACUUGUGGCAGUUUGAAACAAAGGAGUCUUGCAUUCUGAAACAACUGUAGAGAAGCACCCGAACCCAGCUGAUGGAGGUCAAAUUCUACUUUAAAUCCUAGUGAUCAAAACCUAGAUUGUCUCCAAAGCAAGUACUAGUGGCCCGGCCUUAAUCCAGUUGCCUACCUCUUUGGACCUGCAGGCCGAGAUCACCAACCUAGGCUGAGCUGGCUGGGAUGAGCCAGGACUCCCCAUGUGGAAUGCAAUCAAAUUAGCUGUGCCUUAUAGGACAUGAGAAUGAAAAUUUUACACAUUACUGCCAACUCAAUCCUGAAACAGUGCUAUUCUCCUGUCUCCUCCUCAGGAAACUUUCCUGACUCCCCAUUAACCAAAGGUUGAAGUCCAAACUCCAUAAUUCAACUUUCCAUUGAUCUAAAUCGUAUAACAUCUUUCCAUCCCUCAAAUAAAUGACAAUCUGACCCAAAUUAUUUUCCUGGUCUAACUUCCACCACAUGUAUGUGAACAGUCCAUUCUGGGCCAACAGGUGCACUUGUGUUAUCCCAAUGUGUUGGUUAAAGUUCUGGAGGCAGGUAAAUGUUGGCUUAAAACCCAUUUCCCUUGCUUUCUAGUAAGUUUCUAAAUCUUUCUAUACCUUAGUUGCCUUACAAGUUUGAAGUAAGGGUUAAAUAAUUUAGUGUGGAACUCAUACUGAGUGCUCUUACAGAGCCGUUUUUACUAUUACUGUUGUUGCUGUUGUUCAUUCUCCUCUCUAAGCCUUGUUUGCAGCCAGCUCUCAGGUGAAAGGCCCGAACCCCUGCUCUGCCCACACCCUUCCCAGGCCUUGCAAGGCCAGCUUGCUCCUCCAGUAACCACUCCCUCUGCUUGACUCGCUCAUGACACCUGGGACCUGGACUGUUGUCAGGGGAUCACAGGUGUGUGAGACAUAAAGAGAAAUUUCCCAUGUUUGGAGGAGACUUCUAGAAAAUAUUCCUUCUCACUCCAUGAUGCCAAAGCGCUUGUGCCUCCCUUUUGCUUUUGCCAUUGCUAUCUUGGGACCAUGUAUGGCAAUAUGAUUUAUACACCAUGAAAGACAGCUCCAAGAC